rnacentral:tRNA from 1 species
CGGGGUGUGGCUCAGCCUGGUAAAGCGCUGCGUUCGGGAAGCAGAGGGCGCUGGUUCGAAUCCUCUCACCCCGACCA